UACGGAGGAUGCGAGCAUUAUCCGGAUUUAUUGGGUUUAAAGGGUGCGUAGGCGGGAUGCCAAGUCAGCGGUAAAAAUGCGGUGCUCAACGCCGUCGAGCCGUUGAAACUGGCGUUCUUGAGUGGGCGAGAAGUAUGCGGAAUGCGUGGUGUAGCGGUGAAAUGCAUAGAUAUCACGCAGAACUCCGAUUGCGAAGGCAGCAUACCGGCGCCCUACUGACGCUGAGGCACGAAAGCGUGGGUAUCGAACAGG
rnacentral:rRNA from 1 species